rnacentral:rRNA from 1 species
GACGAACGCUGGCGGCGUGCUUAACACAUGCAAGUCGAGCGGCGCGGCGAACGGGUGAGUAACGCGUGAGUAACUACCCCCCUCUAUGGGAUAACAGUUGGAAACGGCUGCUAAUCCCGGCUGGUGGGGGAUGACUCGCGUCCUAUCAGCUUAUUGGUGGGGUAUGGGCCUACCAAGGCGACGACGGGUAGCCGGCCUGAGAGGGCGACCGGCCCAAUUGGGCUGAGAUACGGCCCAAACGCCUACGGGAGGCAGCAGUGGGGAAUAUUGCACAAGGGGGGAAACUCUGAUGCAGCAACGCCGCGUGCGGGAUGACGGCCUUCGGGUUGUAAACCGCUUUCAGCCAUAACGCGGUAGUGGCAGAAGAAGCACCGGCUAACUACGUGCCAGCAGCCGCGGUAAUAC